rnacentral:lncRNA from 1 species
CCCGUCUUUACUGAUUCUUCUCGGUGCUGAGUCUUUUAAGCAGAGACUCACAAAUGACAAAUAGCACACCACUCAACGUGGAAGACAGAGUGCUCGCAGGCAGCUAUUUAAUGGGAGUGUGGGGUUGGAGCUGGUUAGGGGGUAUUACGGCUCCUCCUCUCCCCAAUCAGCAGCACCCUACCCCCAACUUCUUCAGGCCUUUCUGCGCCUUUCUCUGGCCCGCCUGCCCGCCCUCCCCCCGGCGUCUGAGCUGGGCGCGGGAGGCGGGCUUAGCGCUGACGGGCUGCGCCUCUGCAGCCAGAGGGAGGAGGGCGGGAAGGCGGGCGGCGGCGGAGGAGGCGGGGAUUACGCCGGGCGGUAGCCGGUGCCGAGCGCGGUGGGAGAGCAGAGGGUACCCGGCUGGUUCCGCUGGCGGCCUCCGCUUGGAUCCCGGCGCUGCAGCCCUUCGCCUCUCCCGCCCUUGUGUCUGGCUCCGCGGGUCCGGGCCCAGCGGAGGCGGAGGAGCCCUGGGCUACCGUACCUCGAGUGGAGCAGAAAAAUUAUUAUGCCCGUGUUCCCUUGGGACUCAGUGGAAAUUGUACACUGACAUCUUCUGGGAUUUAGUCUGGUGAGUUAUAUUUUGCUUUUUCAGUUUGUUAACCAGUUGUAUGGAUGUAAUACCGUUGUGUUUUAAGGAUUAUAUAGAUGAAAACAAGGUGAAAUUCCAUUAUGUUAUUGCAGAUAUGCAUACUACAAUUACCAAAUUCUUUUUUUUUUUUUUUCAGUUAGGCCAGUAAACAAUGUAUUUGGGAUAAGGGGAAAACAGAGUUUGCUAAGAAAUGGGAGAGAAAGACGGAAA